rnacentral:tRNA from 1 species
GCCGGAAUAGCUCAGUUGGUAGAGCGCAUCAUUCGUAAUGAUGAGGCCCGCGGUUCGAUUCCGCGUUCCGGCACCA